CCUACGGGUGGCAGCAGUGGGGAAUAUUGCGCAAUGGGCGAAAGCCUGACGCAGCGACGCCGCGUGAGGGAUGAAGGUCUUCGGAUCGUAAACCUCUGUCAGCAGGGAAGAACGGUCACUGUGCUAAUCAGCAGUGAAUUGACGGUACCUGCAAAGGAAGCACCGGCUAACGCCGUGCCAGCAGCCGCGGUAAUACGGAGGGUGCGAGCGUUAAUCGGAAUUAAUGGGCGUAAAGCGGUCGUAGGCGGUAUGUCAAGUCAAGGGUGAAAUCCCCGCGCUCAACGUGGGAACUGCCUUUGAAACUGGCAAACAGUGGUGUGUUAGAGGAUAGUGGAAUUCCAGGUGUAGGAGUGAAAUCCGUAGAUAUCUGGAGGAACAUCAGUGGCGAAGGCGACUAUCUGGCACAUAACUGACGCUGAGGAGCGAAAGCGUGGGUAGCAAACAGGAUUAGAUACCCGGGUAGUC
rnacentral:rRNA from 1 species